GACGAACGCUGGCGGCGUGCCUAAUACAUGCAAGUCGAGCGAAUCAAUAGGAGCUUGCUCCUAUUGAUUAGCGGCGGACGGGUGAGUAACACGUGGGCAACCUGCCUAUAAGACUGGGAUAACUUCGGGAAACCGGAGCUAAUACCGGAUAAUCCUUUUCCUCUCAUGAGGGAAAGCUGAAAGACGGUUUACGCUGUCACUUAUAGAUGGGCCCGCGGCGCAUUAGCAGUUGGUGAGGUAACGGCUCACCAAGGCGACGAUGCGUAGCCGACCUGAGAGGGUGAUCGGCCACACUGGGACUGAGACACGGCCCAGACUCCUACGGGAGGCAGCAGUAGGGAAUCUUCCACAAUGGACGAAAGUCUGAUGGAGCAACGCCGCGUGAGCGAUGAA
rnacentral:rRNA from 1 species